GAUGAACGCUGGCGGCGUGCCUAAUACAUGCAAGUCGAGCGAACGGACGAGAAGCUUGCUUCUCUGAUGUUAGCGGCGGACGGGUGAGUAACACGUGGAUAACCUACCUAUAAGACUGGGAUAACUUCGGGAAACCGGAGCUAAUACCGGAUAAUAUUUUGGACCGCAUGGUUCAAAAGUGAAAGACGGUCUUGCUGUCACUUAUAGAUGGAUCCGCGCUGCAUUAGCUAGUUGGUAAGGUAACGGCUUACCAAGGCAACGAUGCAUAGCCGACCUGAGAGGGUGAUCGGCCACACUGGAACUGAGACACGGUCCAGACUCCUACGGGAGGCAGCAGUAGGGAAUCUUCCGAAAUGGGCGAAAGCCUGACGGAGCAACACCGCGUGAGUGAUGAAGGUCUUCGGAUCGUAAAACUCUGUUAUUAGGGAAGAACAUAUGUGUAAGUAACUGUGCACAUCUUGACGGUACCUAAUCAGAAAGCCACGGCUAACUACGUG
rnacentral:rRNA from 1 species